UCCAUUGACAGAACCAGUGAUUUUACAGGAGUCGCUGGUCUACUGCUGCUCCGGCCCUCGUCCGUUUGUGUGACUCUGGUGUUUUCCACCAGAAGGAGGCCGAAGCAGAGCAGCUGCUCCUUUGUUCUGUCCGGUUAAGUCAGCGUUGUUAUCAACAGAGUCUGGUGACUAGAAUCUUUGAGGAGUCGAACAAACAGCAGAGUGUUGUUUUACUUUGAAAUAUUGAAACAUUUAACAUUAAGUACAGAAGACAGCGAACAAACGACCUGUGAAUACAGGAUUCGUCUCGACGAUUUGUCUGUGUGCUGAUCCGCACUCGUUUGUGCGAUGCCGCUGUGGUCUGGGGUUCGCUGCCUUGCCGGAGGGCAUUUCGCUGCUGCGAUAGAGUUUCAGUAAGAGUUGAACUCUGACCUGGUCGAGCAAACACUCCUUUUAUGUCAGCGAGUCCGGAUCGUACUGGAGAUCAGAACCAGCCAGUCUCGCUGCUGAAGACAUCAGCAGCAACUCAAAUGGACCCAAACCAGAUUUGCUGUGCGAUGACGACCCGGAAGAUCUGUUUGCAGAGGCCACGGAGGAGGUGUCCUAGGACAGCCCCGAGAGAGACGUCCUGCUUUCAGACGGUCCCGUCGCUCG